rnacentral:rRNA from 1 species
UUGAACGCUGGCGGCAGGCCUCACCCAUGCAAGUCGCGCGGAUGAAGGGAGCUUGCUCCUGGAUUCAGCGGCGGACGGGUGAGUAAUGCCUAGGAAUCUGCCUGGUAGUGGGGGAUAACGUCCGGAAACGGGCGCUAAUACCGCAUACGUCCUGAGGGAGAAAGUGGGGGAUCUUCGGGCCUCACGCUAUCAGAUGAGCCUAGGUCGGAUUAGCUAGUUGGUGGGGUAAAGGCCUACCAAGGCGACGAUCCGUAACUGGUCUGAGAGGAUGAUCAGUCACACUGGAACUGAGACACGGUCCAGACUCCUACGGGAGGCAGCAGUGGGGAAUAUUGGACAAUGGGCGAAAGCCUGAUCCAGCCAUGCCGCGUGUGUGAAGAAGGUCUUCGGAUUGUAAAGCACUUUAAGUUGGGAGGAAGGGCAGUAAGUUAAUACCUUGCUGUUUUGACGUUACCAACAGAAUAAGCACCGGCUAACUUCGUG